rnacentral:rRNA from 1 species
CACGUCGGGUGCGAGCGUUGUCCGGAAUUAUUGGGCGUAAAGAGCUCGUAGGCGGUGUGUCGCGUCGGCCGUGAAAACCUGCAGCUUAACUGUGGGCGUGCGGUCGAUACGGGCAUCACUGGAGUUCGGCAGGGGAGACUGGAAUUCCUGGUGUAGCGGUGAAAUGCGCAGAUAUCAGGAGGAACACCGGUGGCGAAGGCGGGUCUCUGGGCCGAUAUUGACGCUGAGGAGCGAAAGCGUGGGGAGCAAACAGG